rnacentral:rRNA from 1 species
UGAGCAGGCUGUUUGCUGGUCCCUUUCCAAGGGACAUGUGCACGCUUGUCGUCUUUAUUUUUCCAACUGUGCACAUACUGUAGACCUGGAGUUUUUCUUAUUGUUCAAAUAGAUUGAGGACUGCCGUGUGCGGCUUUGCCUUGUAUUUUCCAGGUCUAUGUUGUAAUACAUUUUCACAACCUGUUUCAGAAUGUCGAGUACUGGGGAUAACAAAUAUACAACUUUCAGCAACGGAUCUCUUGGCUCUCGCAUCGAUGAAGAACGCAGCGAAAUGCGAUAAGUAAUGUGAAUUGCAGAAUUCAGUGAAUCAUCGAAUCUUUGAACGCAUCUUGCGCUCCUUGGUAUUCCGAGGAGCAUGCCUGUUCGAGUGUCAUCAAAAGUUCUCAACCACACCGGUUCUUCUGGUGUGGCUUGGAUUUGGGGGUUUUUUUUUGCAGGCUUUGAAACAUGAAGUCGGCUCCCCUGAAAAGGAUUAGCGGUAUCUGANCANAAACUACUGUCGGGCGUGAUAAAUAUCUAUGCCUCAGUGUGCAUGAACGAACCGCUUCUAACCNAAUGUUGACAAAUUUGACCUCGAAUCAGGUAGGACUACCCGCUGAACUUAAGCAUAU